rnacentral:hammerhead_ribozyme from 1 species
AUCCAGGUGACGAGUCCCAAGUAGGACGAAACGUGCUUCCUGGAU